rnacentral:rRNA from 1 species
GACGAACCGUCCAAACGUUAUUCGGAAUUACUGGGCUUAAAGGGUGCGUAGGCGGCGCGGAAAGUUGGGUGUGAAAUCCCUUCGGCUCAACCGAGGAAUUGCGCCCAAAACUACCGUGCUCGAGGGAGACAGAGGUGAGCGGAACUGAUGGUGGAGCGGUGAAAUGCGUUGAUAUCAUCAGGAACACCGGUGGCGAAAGCGGCUCACUGGGUCUUUUCUGACGCUGAGGCACGAAAGCUAGGGGAGCGAACGGG